ACGAUGUAUAUUAUUAUAAGUUCUCUAUGAAGAGAAUAAUUUUAAGCAAAAGGUAGACAUUUAGGAAGAGGGGUGAAAAUCCCCCGCUGCCCCGCAGCCGUAAUGGGAACGAACGCCGUAUACGCCACUGUCAACGAGUAGUUGUGCCACUGUCAACGAGUAGUUGUGCUAUUGUCAGCGAGUAGCUUCGCACUUGUCAGCAAGCAUCUGGCAAUGUAGCUGUAUCAGCCGCUUAGCUAACGACUUAGCCAACGACUUAGCCAACGACUUAGAUGGGAAGGCGGGCUAGUAGGUAAAAUAGCGUUUUAUAGGUGAAAUAAGCGUUUAAAAGUUUAGCAUCGAAGAACGCAUCUAUUAACGUGAUAUGUAAUAUACGUUUAAGCCCUUAGCCGGAAGACCUGUUUAUCUUUUAACCUCGCG
rnacentral:ncRNA from 1 species